rnacentral:rRNA from 2 species
CCCUGGCUCAGAUUGAACGCUGGCGGCAGGCCUAACACAUGCAAGUCGAGCGGAUGACAGGAGCUUGCUCCUGAAUUCAGCGGCGGACGGGUGAGUAAUGCCUAGGAAUCUGCCUGGUAGUGGGGGACAACGUUUCGAAAGGAACGCUAAUACCGCAUACGUCCUACGGGAGAAAGCAGGGGACCUUCGGGCCUUGCGCUAUCAGAUGAGCCUAGGUCGGAUUAGCUAGUUGGUGAGGUAAUGGCUCACCAAGGCGACGAUCCGUAACUGGUCUGAGAGGAUGAUCAGUCACACUGGAACUGAGACACGGUCCAGACUCCUACGGGAGGCAGCAGUGGGGAAUAUUGGACAAUGGGCGAAAGCCUGAUCCAGCCAUGCCGCGUGUGUGAAGAAGGUCUUCGGAUUGUAAAGCACUUUAAGUUGGGAGGAAGGGCAGUAACUUAAUACGUUGCUGUCUUGACGUUACCGACAGAAUAAGCAC